rnacentral:rRNA from 1 species
CAAUAGCGUAUAUUUAAGUUGUUGCAGUUAAAGAGCUCGUAGUUGGAUUUCGGUUAAGAGCGACCGGUCCGCCGUUUGGUGUGCACUGGUUGGUUUUAACUUCCUGUAGAGGACGUGCUCUGGGUUUAACGACCUGGACUCGGAGUCUACGUGGUUACUUUGAAAAAAUUAGAGUGUUCAAAGCGGGCUUACGCUUGAAUAUUUCAGCAUGGAAUAACACUAUAGGACUCCUGUCCUAUUUCGUUGGUCUCGGGACGGGAGUAAUGAUUAAGAGGAACAGUUGGGGGCAUUCGUAUUUCAUUGUCAGAGGUGAAAUUCUUGGAUUUAUGAAAGACGAACUUCUGCGAAAGCAUUUGCCAAGGAUGUUUUCAUUAA